rnacentral:tRNA from 1 species
GGGCCAGUAGCUCAGUGGUUAGAGCAGGGGACUUUUAAUCCUCGUGUCGAAGGUUCGAUUCCUUCCUGGCUCA